rnacentral:rRNA from 1 species
ACAGAGGGGGCAAGCGUUGUUCGGAAUUACUGGGCGUAAAGGGCGCGUAGGCGGCCUGUUAAGUCGAACGUGAAAUCCCCAGGCUCAACCUGGGAACUGCGUCCGAAACUGGCAGGCUUGAAUCCGGGAGAGGGAUGUGGAAUUCCAGGUGUAGCGGUGAAAUGCGUAGAUAUCGGAAGGAACAUCAGUGGCGAAAGCGACUUCCUGGACCAAUACUGACGCUCAUGUGCGAAAGCGUGGGGAGCAAACAGGA